rnacentral:misc_RNA from 1 species
AGAACGAAGCCGCUUUAGUGAGGGCUCUUUUACCUGAGAAGACCUCAAAUUUCCUACAGCAUCUCGUACUGCAAAUUGAAGUAGUCGCCGAGGAGCAUCAAUUGUUGCUUGAGAAACGGCCUCCCUCUUCAUUUGCUGUCGCUCAUCCUGCCGACUCUUUUUCUUCUGUUGUGGAGGAUGAGGAGAUGGAGAUCUUCUUGCAUGACUUGCUUUGUGACAACUUCUUUCAUCUAAAUGUGUACUAUUAACAUCAGAGCUUCUAAGAGGCAGUUCAGUAGCAUCCCUCAUUAAACCUUUCCAUUCUCUUUUGCGUCGACUUCUGCAGAAGUUAUCACACUUUCCUUCACCAGAUCCAGAAUCAAUGUGAUGAAAUUCAUUCUUAUCAGCCAACUCUCCCAGUGCCGGUUUUGUUUUGACUACAUCACUAGUACAAGUCUCCUGAGGCUGUACAUAUA